rnacentral:misc_RNA from 1 species
AAUUCUCAACCUUAUCAGCUUUUGUUGAUAAUGGCUUGGAUGUGGGGGUUACUUUGCUGGUCUCUUUAAUGAGAUCAGCUCCCCUUAAAUGUAUUAGCUGGUUGCCUUGUGCAGACUUGUCUAUUGGUGUGAUAAUUAUCUACGCCGUGGACUUCUGCCAGUAUUUAGCACCGCUUCUAACUGUCUGUUUACUCAGACAAUUAUAUGACA